rnacentral:lncRNA from 10 species
AUCAAGUGUGCUGAAUGUGGGCCACCUCCUUUUUUCCUCUGCUUGCAGCUGCAGACAAGAUUAAAUGAAUCCUUAAAAAAUUGUUGUCCGGGCUCGGUGGCUCACGCCUGUAAUCCCAGCACUUUGGGAGGCCAAGAAAGGUGAAUCACAAGAUCAGGAGUUCGAGGCCAGCCUGGCCAAGGUGGUGAAAUCCCGUCUCUGCUAAAAAUACGAAAAUUAGCUGAGUGUUGUGCCGGCUGCCUGUAAUCCCAGCUACUCGAGAGGCUGAAGCAGGAGAAUCAACUUGAACCUGGGAGGCAGAGGUUGCAGUGAGCUGAGAUGGCGCCACUCUAGCCUGGGUGAAAGAGCAAGACUCCGUCUCAGA